rnacentral:rRNA from 1 species
GGGGAAUAUUGGGCAAUGGACGCAAGUCUGACCCAGCGACGCCGCGUGCGGGAUGAAGGCCUUCGGGUUGUAAACCGCUUUCAGCAGGGAAGAAGCGAAAGUGACGGUACCUGCAAAAGAAGCACCGGCUAACUAUGUGCCAGCAGCCGCGGUAAUACAUAGGGUGCAAGCGUUGUCCGGAAUUAUUGGGCGUAAAGAGCUCGUAGGUGGUUAGUUACGUCGGGUGUGAAAAUCUGGGGCUCAACCCCAGACCUGCACUCGAUACGGGCUAGCUAGAGUUUGGUAGGGGAGACUGGAAUUCCUGGUGUAGCGGUGGAAUGCGCAGAUAUCAGGAGGAACACCAAUGGCGAAGGCAGGUCUCUGGGCCAAUACUGACACUGAGGAGCGAAAGCGUGGGGAGCGAACAGGA